AGUGAACGCUGGCGGUAGGCCUAACACAUGCAAGUCGAACGGCAGCACAGUAAGAGCUUGCUCUUACGGGUGGCGAGUGGCGGACGGGUGAGGAAUACAUCGGAAUCUACUUUUUCGUGGGGGAUAACGUAGGGAAACUUACGCUAAUACCGCAUACGACCUACGGGUGAAAGCAGGGGAUCUUCGGACCUUGCGCGAUUGAAUGAGCCGAUGUCGGAUUAGCUAGUUGGCGGGGUAAAGGCCCACCAAGGCGACGAUCCGUAGCUGGUCUGAGAGGAUGAUCAGCCACACUGGAACUGAGACACGGUCAAGACUCCUAAGGGAGGCAGCAGUGGGGAAUAUUGGACAAUGGGCGCAAGCCUGAUCCAGCCAUACCGCGUGGGUGAAGAAGGCCUUCGGGUUGUAAAGCCCUUUUGUUGGGAAAGAAAAGCAGCAGGUUAAUACCCCGCUGUUCUGACGGUACCCAAAGAAUAAGCACCGGCUAACUUCGUG
rnacentral:rRNA from 1 species